rnacentral:rRNA from 1 species
AUUGAACGCUGGCGGCAGGCCUAACACAUGCAAGUAGAACGAGUGGCGGACGGGUAAGUAAUGUCUGGGAUACUGCCUGAUGGAGGGGGAUAACUCCUGGAAACGGUUGCUAAUACCGCAUAAUAUCGGAUGUGUCCAGAUGGGAUUAGCUAGUAGGUGGGGUAAAGGCUCACCUAGGCGACGAUACCUAGCUGGUCUGAGAGGAUGACCAGCCACACUGGAACUGAGACACGGUCCAGACUCCUACGGGAGGCAGCAGUGGGGAAUAUUGCACAAGGGGCGCAAGCCUGAUGCAGCCAUGCCGCGUGUAUGAAGAAGGCCUUCGGUGUGUAAAGUACUUUCAGCGGGGAGGCGUUACCCGCAGAAGAAGCACCGGCUAACUCCGUGCCAGCAGCCGCGGUAAUAC